CUAGGAAAGCAAAAUCAGGUUCGUAGCCAGAAUGUCAUUUUGGAAGCAAAAUUUCACAUUGGCACCCAAAAACUGAGUUUUGGUAGAAAUGGUUUUUUUGUUUUCCAAAACAUUUCCGUUUUACAAAGAAAAAUAAUCAUUAUCUCUAUCUUCUCCUUCAUUGUUUACUUGAAUUGAUCUAUCCAUUCCAUUCCAAUUGAAGAAACACAUAUGGAUUGGCCUUGCUCAAAGUCAAACUCAGAACCCUAAUCCGUCAAGCCGCUGGAUUUCGUCGUCGUAGAUUAUUUUUCUUCGUCUUUCCCGAACUCCAUCCAUGGUGAAUUGGCUCCUUCGCCUUCUCUUCCCUUCGUUUUAUCAAUUUCAAUUGCACAUAAACUAAAACCCUAGAGGUCAUCGACCUAGAUCUGCGAAACAACAAUCUCUAAGAAACAGAAGAUGAAUCCUCGGACAAGUAUGGCUCAGCGUGAAGACAUCAUUAGAAGAACUGUCUGAUAUUGACGAACAGGUCACUGAGGAGCAGCUUGAUAGUUUGUUCAUCGGCUUUGGGCAGGUCUAAGUCUCUUCUACAAGUUCAUCUUUGUUUGUUUGUGGUGUCUUCUUUGUCAUGACUGCUUUUGGUUUUUGACUUUUUCAUCACAUUCGAGCUCUGUCACCGCCAAUCUAAGAACAGAUAUGGCAUUGUGGCAAAUGCUUGGAUGGUCAGAAGGAGAAAUGAGGUCUGAUACAAAGCCAUGUUUAAGGCUAUAUAUAGAGAUAGACUGCUGCUUGCUGUUUUCACUGUUGGUAGAGCUCUUUGGUCAUGGGUUUUAUGCAGAUUUCACGAUGUCAUGUAGUUAACAUCACGAGUUUAAUUUUAUUCAUCCAAAAACUGAUGUGGAUGUUA